rnacentral:rRNA from 1 species
AUGGAAAUUGAUCAUUAUCUAUGCAAGAACUGUGAAUAUAAGCAACACCAAUGUUUCAGUUGUGGAGAUCUUGAGCCAUCUGAUGGACCAAAUGCUAAGGUGUUCCAAUGCUACAAAGCAUCUUGUGGGCACUUCUACCACCCCAGUUGUAUUGCCAAAUUACUUGAGCCUGAUGAUACUGAUGGAGCUUGUGAGUUGGAGAGGAGGAUUGCUGCUGGGAUGUCAUUUACAUGUCCUGCACAUUGGUGCUCAGAAUGUAGAACGAUGGAAGACAGUACUCAACCAGAACUUUGGCUUGCGGCCUGCAGACGCUGUCCGGUGUCAUAUCACAAAAAAUGUUUCCCAAGAAGCAUUUCCUUUGAGAGAAAGCGUGGCACAAGUGUACGCGCUUGGCACCUGGGUGAUAGAAUUAUCAUUUACUGUGGAAGCCAUAAACUAGAAGCUGAGCUUGGAGCACCUAGCAGAGACCAUAUAAAGUUACCAUCUAGUACAGAAAUGGAUACUGUUGGAACACAUUGCAUUGACCAAAUAAAGUUAACUCCCGUUCGAAAAAUUUAUAGAACAAGAAAUCUUGCUAAGAAGAAAACAAAAGUGACUGGUAAAAGGAAAAUGAACACUGAUCAGGGUUCAACAGGAACUGCGGAGCUGUCAAACAAGGUAUGUCGAGAAGAAGCCGACCAGAUAAAGUUAACUCCCGUUCCAAAAAUUUAUAGGACAAGAAAUCUUGCUAAGAAAACAAAAGUGACUGGUAAAAGGAAUAUGAACACCGAUCAAGGUUCAACAGGAACUGUGGAGCUGUCAAACAAGGUAUGUCGAGAAGAAGCCGACCAGAUCCAAACAGUAGAUAUGAAUGACUUAACAGAAGAUAAGAUUCCAAAAGGGAGAGGUGUCCUUGAGAAAGAGACCAUCCGUUUGAAUCAAGCACACAAUGAUGAGCUAGAAAAACUUAUUGGGGAGGAACAGGCUGAAGAGGAUGAAAGCAACACCAAAUCUGGAGAAGAGAGAGAAACUCGUAGGAGAGAAAAUACAUAUGGGGAAAAGGAGAAGACUCCUGGGAACAACAGUAAUAAAUUUGGAUUACCUGACGGGCGGUUAACCUCCGGAUCUGAUGGUGACCGAGAAGUUGAUGGAAGCCAUGCCUGCCAGCAGGAGCUGAAGAGCCCUCACUGCAAUGAUAAUAACAAAGCAACAGAAAUUGAUACUUCAAGUGACAAGUCAGGAAAGAGACAGAGACAGGAGGAACAGGCAACUGAUGGUAACAUGUUGGACUUGGAAAGGAACAAUAAGAAGUUUCACAUGGAAACUGGAAGAGAUGCUCAUCAAAGUCCUCAGCAUCUUCAUAAUCACAAAAAAACAGAUGCUCGUCAAAGUUCUUGUUCCUCAUCAAAAGAUCAUCCUCGGUGUAAUGAUGAUCAGAGAUCUUCAAUGACUUCCGAAUACAAAUCCAGAGAGGGAAGAGGAUCAAGUAGAGAAGAGUGGAGAAAUAAUAUGAGGGAAAAUUCUUAUAGGGGUGGGUCACCCUCGGGGAGAAGAAAUUCUCAAAAUAGAUCAAGCAGACAUUCUCCGGAAGGGCGAAGGGCGGAGUAUCGUAACAGUCAUCAUAGAAGCAACAACCAACACAGAUAUGAGCAACAUCGACACGAUGAUUAUUUCAAAUGUCGUGAUGAUUAUUCCAAACACCGUGAUGUUGAUACUGGUGGAAGGAGGUCGAGUCGUCAUGAGGAUCAUUCUAGAGAUGGUGGUAGGAGGAGGUCGAGUCAUCGUGAGGAUCAUUCCACUGAUGGUGGUAGGAGGAGGUCGAGUCAUCGUGAGGAUUAUUCCAGUGAUGGUGAUAGGAGGAGGUCGAGUCACCGUGAGGAUCAUUCCACUGAUGGUGGUAGGAGGAGGUCGAGUCAUGGUGAGGAUCAUUCCAGUGAUGGUGGUAGGAGGAGGUCGAGUCAUCGUGAGGAUCAUUCCAGUGAUGGUGAUAUUGGUGGAAGGAGGUUGAGUCCCCAGCAGUCAGCACUUCCUUCUGGUAAUUUUGGUACUAGUCUCAGCCCCCCUUCACAUCCGACCACUGAAUAUGGUGCUAGCAGAAGGCAUGGUUCCCCUCCAUAUCAGAGAUCUGAACAUGCUGCUAGUGGAAGCCGUGGCCCCUAUAUGAACCCACGAGGAUCAGGCCCUGCAGACUAUGAAAUGGAAAAGAGAAGUGUUCCCCUUCACCAUGAUGCGCCCAAUGUCGAGGAGUACACCGGUCGACCACUGAAUAUGGUGCUACCAGAAGGCAUUGCUCCCGUUAAUACGUACUCUCUCCGAGGGGAAUCUCCUGGUGCAUAUGGUCCUGGAACAGAUGCCGGCAUGGGCGAAGAAACCACAUUCCGUGGUGGGCGUUUCGGUGAUCAUGGAGUGAGGUCAGAUUAUCCACGAAGCAGCAGCAUGAAUGCAGAGGAUAGGGCUUUUGCUGCAGGUUCCGUUACGGAUAGGUAUGUCCCGCACCUCGACCGAACGAACCACCCAAUAAGAGUUGACGGUUAUCUGCCGGAUUAUCCCGUAUGGUAG